UGCUUCCUGCUGUUGCCUCCGCUCGAGGGCAAUGCGCAGGGCCAAGUACUUGGAGAGGUGGUCCACUGUGGCAUUCCCAGUUGUCUUCACAUACCUGGAAUGGGAGGGAGGACAGGCUUAGAGCCAGAGCGCCUCAGAUGAGGACUGGAGGUAGGGGCUUUCCAAAAUGGAUUCUGGGUUGGGGUGGUAUUUUGGGUUUGGGCAAAGCCCACUUCUGAUGGAAAUCUAGGUGAUCUUUGGUUUCUCAGUGGCUGGGGAAAGACAGGGCUCCUCACCUCGUCUGGCAGUAUUCUCCCUUCUCCACGAGCAGGGGGUGGGGCCGGAACACGAGCUCAAUUUCUCCACCUGGCUCUGGGGGGCUGGGGGCCCCAGGAGGGCUUGGGGGCAGGGCCUGGGGCAGAGUCAGGGGCGGAGUCUGAGCUCACAUCUUCUCCAUCCCCUUCUCCCUCCCCGGGCUCUCCUUCCCCCCCACUCAUCGUUGUGGUCUGAUCUGACCCUGGUAUCGGCCGCCUCACACGCUGGGCCCUGUAGAAGCAAGUGGUUAAGGUUAGAAGGCAUCCAGGAUAAAGGGCUUAGACUUUAAACUUCAGAGAAUUAAGAGAUAAGAAAAAUCCUAAUGACGAUACCUAAUAUUUAUUAAACACAAUGUGCUAAGCACUCAGUAUACUAAGUGUUUUGCACCAAUCCCCUUACCUAAUACAAUGAAUCCUAUGACACAGGUAAUUAUAUUACCUCUAUUUUAUGGCUGAGGAAACUGAGGCUUAGAGAGGUUAAGUAACUUGUUAGUGAUCAUAGGCUGUCACCUCUCAAAGUGCGGUAGCAGCAUACACAUCCCCUGUGAGCUUGUGAAAUGCAGACUCUCGGGCCCAACUCUAGACCUACUGAAUCACAGUUUGCAUCUGAAGAUCUACAGGUAAUCUGGAUACACAUGAAAGACUGAGAGAUGCUGGCCUAGGAGGUGAUUUAACUUCCAGCAGUAUGAAUCCGGGGCUUAUUCUCAAAAUCGCUCUACUGUUCUAACUUCUAGAAAGUCAUGGGGUAAACUACAUUUUUCCUUUUUUUUUUUUUGUGACAGGGCCUUGUUCUGUCGCCCAGCAGGCUGGAGUGCAGUGUGCAGUGGUGUGAUCAUGGUUCACUGCAACAUCCACUUUCUUCCCAGGCUCAAGUGAUCCUAUUACCUCAGCCUCCCAAGAAGGUAGGACUACAGGCAUGUGCCACCAUGCCCAGCUAAAUGUUUAAUUUGUUGUAGAGAUGAGAUUUCCCUAUGUUAUUCAAGGUGGUCUCAAACUCCUGGGCUCAAGUGAUCCUCCCAUCCUCACCUCCCAAAGUGCUGGGAUUACAGAUGUGAGUCACUGUGCCCAGCCCUAUAUUUUUCUUAAGAAGAGCAGGGCCAGUUGUUUACUAAGAAACUGCAAUUUACACCCAUGAUUUCCAGCCCUAAUGAUCAGUCUGUGGUCAGCUCCUAGGAUGCUGAGGCUUAGAAGCUAGCAGGCAACAAGGACUGACCCACGGACCCAUCCCAUCAGUUCUGCUUCUCUCCUGACCCUCACACCUGUGCAUGGCCUGCAUGCGUAGCCCCUCCUCAAUGCUGGAGCUCAAUGCCUGCUGGUUGUGCAGGCGGCUCAGGCGGAUAAGCACUCGGUCUUGAUGGGCCUCGUAUUCCUCCCGGCUAGGAUAGAUCUUAGAGAUCAGGGCAUCAAAGUUGGGGUCUGGCCGUAGGGAUCGCUUGGACACCAGCUUCUUUCGGCAGGUAGGACACUCCUUGUUCCUGGGGUAGGAGAAGGGAAGCCCUGAGUGGUCAGUCAAGGGAACUGAAGCCUAGGCUGAACCAAGACCAGUGAGAGGGCCCUAACUUUGUACCCCUUCAUCUCAUCUCAAACAUGUCUCUCCUAUUACCCGCUCCGUAGGGCUGUGACAAUGCAGUCAGAGCAGAAUCUGUGGAGGCACUCCUUGGUGGUCAUCGUAUUCUUCAGCAUGUCCAGGCAGAUAGGGCACAUGAGUUCUGAAUGCAGUGACCGAGGGGAAACAGCAAUCUCUGUGCCAUCCAUUAUGGCUUCCUGAAGGCAUCAGUGAGUAGAAAGGUGGUGUGGGUUAGAGGGAAAGGGGUUUUAGAAACAGCAGCCCAUAAAAUAAGAAUUUUGAGAAAUACAGUGAGAAGACCCAUGUUGGUCUCUAUAGGAGACAAGAAUUCUGAGAAAGAGAAGGACUGAUGACUUGGAGCAAAUGGAGAAAAGACAGACUUUAGUGUCCAUUAACUAAGAGUAGGAGCUUUGGAAUAGGAGGAUCUGAGGUGGCUAAGUGGCCUAGGAGUGAAGAUGGCACAAAUCUGUGGUUGGGAAAAACUAUUCAACAAAAUUUUUUAAAGUCCUGGUGCUACCUGUAUUAGAACCCCAUAGGGUGCCUGUUAAAAAUUCAGAUUCUGAGAACCCAAUUCACUACUGAAUCAGAAUGUUGGGGGGCAUGAAGCUCUGCUUUUAAUAAACUCCCAAAGUGAGUCUUAUGUGCACUGACUUAUGACACUGAAUGAGGAACAGGGAAGGUAAUUUUUGUGUUUGUGAUCUUUCAAAUGAAGAUAAUAAUACUUGUUCCACCUCUCUGGCAGGGCUGUUUUGAGGAUUAAAUGAGCUAAAUGCGAAAGUGCUUUGGAAAGAUUAAGGUGAUUCAAAGGUAGGGCCAGGCAAGGCAGAAUAGAGCAAAUUACGGAAAAGAAGCUGUGUGAUGCGGUCUGUGGAUAUAAGGGUUUGGGGGAGGGGGUAAGCCUGAAAGGGAGAAUGCCUGUCACCUGCGGGGUCCGGUGCAGCUCAUACAGACUCAGUUCCCACGUUUUGCUGGCAUUCUGGGCAUUCGCCGGCGUCGUCAUGGUGACCGGGCGCA
rnacentral:lncRNA from 10 species